rnacentral:rRNA from 1 species
CUGGUGCCAGCAGCCGCGGUAAUUCCAGCUCCAAUAGCGUAUAUUAAAGUUGUUGCAGUUAAAAAGCUCGUAGUUGAAUUUCGGGAUCAUCAGGUUGGUCGUGCCUCCGGUAUGUACUUGCUUCGGUGGACCCUCCUUCUUGAAGAACCGUAAUGCCAUUAAUUUGGUGUUGCGGGGAAACAGGACUGUUACUUUGAAAAAAUUAGAGUGUUUAAAGCAGGCAAUCGCUUGAAUACAUUAGCAUGGAAUAAUGAAAUAGGACGUUCGAUCCUAUUUUGUUGGUUUCUAGGAUUGACGUAAUGAUUAAUAGGGAUAGUUGGGGGCAUUAGUAUUCAAUUGUCAGAGGUGAAAUUCUUGGAUUUAUUGAAGACUAACUACUGCGAAAGCAUUUGCCAAGGAUGUUUUCAUUAAUCAAGAACGAAAGUUAGGGGAUCGAAGACGAUCAGAUACCGUCGUAGUCUUAACCAUAAACUAUGCCGACUAGGGAUCGGAUGAUGUUAAUUUUUUAAUGACUCAUUCGGCG